GAUGAAGAACGCAGCGAAAUGCGAUAAGUAGUGUGAAUUGCAGAAUUCAGUGAAUCAUCGAAUCUUUGAACGCACAUUGCGCCCCUUGGUAUCCCGAGGGGCAUGCCUGUUCGAGCGUCAUUUCACCACUCAAGCCUGGCUUGGUGUUGGGCGACGUCCCCUUUGGGGACGCGCCUCGAAACGCUCGGCGGCGUGGCACCGGCUUUAAGCGUAGCAGAAUCUUUCGCUUUGGAAGUCGGGGCCCCGUCUGCCGGAAGACCUACUCGCAAGGUUGACCUCGGAUCAGGCAGGGAUACCCGCUGAACUUAAGCAUAUCAAAAGCGGAGGA
rnacentral:misc_RNA from 1 species